rnacentral:rRNA from 1 species
UGCGUCGAGCGAUGAAGCACCUUCGGGUGUGAAUUAGCGGCGAACGGGUGAGGAACACGUGAAGAAUCUGCCUUCAACUCUGGGAUAACUCCGGGAAACCGGGGCUAAUACCGGAUAUGAGCCUUGAUCGCAUGAUCGGGGCUGGAAAGUUUUUCGGUUGAAGAUGACUUCGCGGCCUAUCAGCUUGUUGGUGAGGUAAUGGCUCACCAAGGCGACGACGGGUAGCCGGCCUGAGAGGGCGACCGGCCACACUGGGACUGAGACACGGCCCAGACUCCUACGGGAGGCAGCAGUGGGGAAUAUUGGGCAAUGGAGGAAACUCUGACCCAGCGACGCCGCGUGAGGGAUGAAGGCCUUCGGGUUGUAAACCUCUUUCAGUAGGGAAGAAGCGAAAGUGACGGUACCUACAGAAGAAGCACCGGCUAACUAUGUGCCAGCAGCCGCGGUAAUACAUAGGGUGCAAGCGUUGUCCGGAAUUAUUGGGCGUAAAGAGCUCGUAGGUGGUCCGAUACGUCGGAUGUGAAAAUCAGGGGCUCAACCCCUGACCUGCAUCCGAUAUGGUCGAGCUAGAGUUUGGUAGGGGAGACUGGAAUUCCUGGUGUAGCGGUGGAAUGCGCAGAUAUCAGGAGGAACACCGAUGGCGAAGGCAGGUCUCUGGGCCAAUACUGACACUGAGGAGCGAAAGCGUGGGG